ACUCAGUGGUGGCCAGGGCUUGCUUGUGUACAAUCACUGGCCUCAUCCUUCCAGAGAAGAUCUGUGUCCCACUGGAACAGCUGUGUCAUUACUUCUAUGAGGCAAACCUGGACCCAUGGGUUACCUUGUCAGUUCAAGGCUUUGCAGACAGCCCUGUUUCCUGGAGAGAGAAUAAGCAUGAUUUUCACAAAGGAGGUGAACAUGUGUACAACUUUGUGAUUUUUAAUAACCAGGACUAUUGUCUUCAGAUGGCUGUUCAGACACUCGAUAACUGUCCUCCCUGAGCCUUAUAAAAUUUUAAAAUCUGUUGUUUAUACUCA